rnacentral:rRNA from 1 species
GAUGAACGCUGGCGGCGUGCCUAAUACAUGCAAGUCGAGCGAACAGACGAGGAGCUUGCUCCUCUGACGUUAGCGGCGGACGGGUGAGUAACACGUGGAUAACCUACCUAUAAGACUGGGAUAACUUCGGGAAACCGGAGCUAAUACCGGAUAAUAUAUUGAACCGCAUGGUUCAAUAGUGAAAGACGGUUCUGCUGUCACUUAUAGAUGGAUCCGCGCCGCAUUAGCUAGUUGGUAAGGUAACGGCUUACCAAGGCAACGAUGCGUAGCCGACCUGAGAGGGUGAUCGGCCACACUGGAACUGAGACACGGUCCAGACUCCUACGGGAGGCAGCAGUAGGGAAUCUUCCGCAAUGGGCGAAAGCUUGACGGAGCAACGCCGCGUGAGUGAUGAAGGUCUUCGGAUCGUAAAACUCUGUUAUUAGGGAAGAACAAAUGUGUAAGUAACUAGGCACGUCUUGACGGUACCUAAUCAGAAAGCCACGGCUAACUACGUG